CACCUGGGGAGUGCGGCCGCAAGGUUAAAACUCAAAUGAAUUGACGGGGGCCCGCACAAGCGGUGGAGCAUGUGGUUUAAUUCGACGCAACGCGAAGAACCUUACCUGGCCUUGACAUCCAGAGAACUUUCCAGAGAUGGAUUGGUGCCUUCGGGAACUCUGAGACAGGUGCUGCAUGGCCGUCGUCAGCUCGUGUCGUGAGAUGUUGGGUUAAGUCCCGUAACGAGCGCAACCCCUAUCCCUGGUUGCUAGCAGGUAAUGCUGAGAACUCCAGGGAGACUGCCGGUGACAAACCGGAGGAAGGUGGGGAUGACGUCAGGUCAUCAUGGCCCUUACGGCCAGGGCUACACACGCGCUACAAUGGCGCGUACAGAGGGCUGCCAACUCGCGAGAGUGAGCCAAUCCCUUAAAACGCGUCGUAGUCCGGAUCGGAGUCUGCAACUCGACUCCGUGAAGUCGGAAUCGCUAGUAAUCGCGAAUCAGAAUGUCGCGGUGAAUACGUUCCCGGGCCUUGUACACACCGCCCGUCACACCAUGGGAGUGGAUUGCACCAGAAGUAGUUAGUCUAACCUUCGGGAGGACGAUUACCACGGUGUGGUUCAUGACUGGGGUGAAGUCGUAACAAGGUAACCGUA
rnacentral:rRNA from 1 species